rnacentral:rRNA from 1 species
UACGGAAGGCAGCAGUGGGGAAUAUUGCACAAUGGGCGAAAGCCUGAUGCAGCUAUGCCGCGUGUAUGAAGAAGGCCUUAGGGUUGUAAAGUACUUUCAUCGGGGAGGAAAAACAAAACUAAUAAUUUUAUUUCUUGACGUUACCCGAAAAAGAAGCACCGGCUAACUCCGUGCCAGCAGCCGCGGUAAUACGGAGGGUGCUAGCGUUAAUCAGAAUUACUGGGCGUAAAGAGCACGUAGGUGGUUUUUUUAAGUCAGAUGUGAAUCCCUGGGCUUAACCUAGGAACUGCAUUUUGAAACUGAAAUACUAGAGUAUCGUAGAGGGAGGUAGAAUUCUAGGUGUAGCGGUGAAAUGCGUAGAUAUCUGGAGGAAUACCUGUGGCGAAAGCGGCCUCCUAAACGAAUACUGACACUGAGGUGCGAAAGCGUGGGGAGCAAACAGGGAUUAGAUACCCGU